rnacentral:rRNA from 1 species
CACUCAGACGCGAAGGCAUGGGUAGCGAACGGGAUUAGAAACCCCGGUAGUCCCAUGCAAUAAACGAUGCACACUGAAUGUUCGUUGUCCUACGGGGCAAUGAGUGUUGAAGCUAACGCGUUAAGUGUGCCGCCUGGGGAGUACGGUCGCAAGGCUAAAACUCAAAGGAAUUGACGGGGGCCCGCACAAGCAGCGGAGCGUGUGGUUUAAUUCGAGGGUACGCGAAGAACCUUACCUGGGUUUGACAUGCAAGUGGUACUGAGGUGAAAGCCGAGGGACUCUUCGGAGAGCUUGCACAGGCGCUGCAUGGUUGUCGUCAGCUCGUGCCGUGAGGUGUUCGGUUAAGUCCGCAAACGAGCGCAACCCUUAUUGCCAGUUACAAGUGUCUGGCGAGACUGCCCGUGGCAAACGGGAGGAAGGUGGGGAUGACGUCAAAUCAGCAUGGCCUUUAUAUCCAGGGCUACACACACGCUACAAUGGCGCGUACAAUGCGUAGCGAAGCCGCGAGGUGGAGCCAAUCGCGAAAGCGCGUCUCAGUUCAGAUUGCAGGCUGCAACUCGCCUGCAUGAAGUCGGAGUUGCUAGUAACCGUGUAUCAGCACGGCACGGUGAAUACGUUCCCGGGCCUUGUACACACCGCCCGUCACGUCAUGGGAGUUGGUUACGCCUGAAGUCGGGAAGCUAACCGCAAGGAGGCUACCGCCGAAGGCAGGACUGAUGACUGGGACGAAGUCGUAACAAGGUAGCAGUAGCGGAAGCUGCGGCUGGAUCAC